ACCAAAAACCCUAAGCAACAACAAUGGAGAACACCUAGCUGAACCCUAACCCCCACACCAAUGCCGUUGCCCUCCUCCAAACGAGCCCUCACUCCAUUUUCGAAUGAGCACAAGCGCACACGACCACCCUUCACCUUCUUCAGCACCGACUGUAACACCACCCAUGGACCACCGUGAAUGCAGCCGGCCACCAUCACCCAUUCCCUUACCCAAACUCGCCGGAACUCCAUAACCACCAUCUAGCUGUUCUUCAUUUCCUCAACAGAUCCACCACAAAACGACCCCAUGCCCUAAAUGAUCACACUUCUGCCUCCGCCGCUAGCCAAACACUCCAUUGGCCUUGCCUUCUCCCAACCAAAACUCACCGGAAAAAGAACCAACGACCACCUCUUUCAAAACUUCAUCGCUCCCGCCGCCGUCCCUCCAAGCCACAACAACCAUCGUUCUCUCACCACCUCAAAACCGACGGACCUCACUGUCGUCCCUAUCUGCAGCAGCGGCGUGACAGAACAACCUGAACAGUAGCACCACUGAACCCAAAACAACUAUCCGUUGCCCUUUUCGUUCUGUGUUCGCUCGACAGCCAUGAGCAGUAGAUUCUCUGCGUGCGAUUAAAAAUUUGAGCUCGAGUUCUCCAACGAGUUUCGAGGUCACAGAAGGUCGCUGUCCUAGGUUUCCUGUUUAAGAACAUUAUCAGAUUCUGUUUUUGAGGUCCCUCUCAUUUCCUUAUCUUCAUUAUGUGUAUUGCUAUUUCUCAUGUGCUAUGUUAAUGGCUUAACGUGCUUGGUUGGUAAGUUCUGUCAAAUUGCCUUUUGUUUCAUUUUAGUUGAGCUUGUUUGCUUAUUUUGGUUGGGGUUUAUGUCCGUAUACAUUUGUUGCUGGUAAUGUUAGCUUUGAAUUACUUGUAUGUGCUGAAUGACACAUAGAAAUUAAUGGAUAGAUGAUGCUUAUGAACAGAAAUGGGAUUGAGGUUCACAAUUUAAAGGUUCGAAAUAAUUU
rnacentral:lncRNA from 1 species